GUCAUAUGCAUAAGGAAUAUUUGUUUAAACUCUUUUAGUCACAAAAUUGUUCAAUGUGUGAAUAUAUAUAAUGAGAAUUGAAGUUGCUACAUUAAAAAAAAAAAAAAAAAAAAAAAANNNNNNNNNNGCUAUUUUGACUUAGUUGAGUAACCAGGGGUCUUCAUGCACCCCAUGUUGACACUCAGGCCAAAAAUUAAGCAGAAUAUGAGCAGUGCUAGUAGCC
rnacentral:misc_RNA from 1 species